GAUGAACGCUGACAGAAUGCUUAACACAUGCAAGUCAACUUGAACUUCGGUUUGGGUGGCGGACGGGUGAGUAACGCGUAAAGAACUUGCCUCACAGCUAGGGACAACAUUUGGAAACGAAUGCUAAUACCUGAUAUUAUGAUUAUAUGGCAUCGUAUAAUUAUGAAAGCUAUAUGCGCUGUGAGAGAGCUUUGCGUCCCAUUAGCUAGUUGGAGAGGUAACAGCUCACCAAGGCGAUGAUGGGUAGCCGGCCUGAGAGGGUGAUCGGCCACAAGGGGACUGAGACACGGCCCUUACUCCUACGGGAGGCAGCAGUGGGGAAUAUUGGACAAUGGACCGAGAGUCUGAUCCAGCAAUUCUGUGUGCACGAUGAAGUUUUUCGGAAUGUAAAGUGCUUUCAGUUGGGAAGAAAAAAAAUGACGGUACCAACAGAAGAAGUGACGGCUAAAUACGUG
rnacentral:rRNA from 1 species